rnacentral:piRNA from 1 species
UUCCAAUUUUUUAUUCUGAAG